rnacentral:rRNA from 1 species
GAUGAACGCUAGCUACAGGCUUAACACAUGCAAGUCGCGGGGCAGCAUUUCUUUAGCUUGCUAAGGAAGAUGGCGACCGGCGCACGGGUGAGUAACGCGUAUCCAACCUGCCCUUGUCCACGGGAUAACCCGGUGAAAACCGGCCUAAUACCGUAUGAGGUCACAAGCGGACAUCCAACUGUGACGAAAGGUUUUGCGGACAAGGAUGGGGAUGCGUCCGAUUAGCUUGACGGCGGGGUAACGGCUCACCAAGGCGACGAUCAGUAGGGGUUCUGAGAGGAAGGUCCCCCACAUUGGAACUGAGACACGGUCCAAACUCCUACGGGAGGCAGCAGUGGGGAAUAUUGGGCAAUGGGCGAAAGCCUGACCCAGCAACGCCGCGUGAAGGAGAAGGCCUUCGGGUUGUAAACUUCUUUUGUCAGGGACGAAGGACGUGACGGUACCUGACGAAUAAGCAACGGCUAACUACGUAGCCAGCAGCCG